UGGGGAAUAUUGCACAAUGGGCGCAAGCCUGAUGCAGCCAUGCCGCGUGUAUGAAGAAGGCCUUCGGGUUGUAAAGUACUUUCAGCGAGGAGGAAGGCGUUGUGGUUAAUAACCGCAGCGAUUGACGUUACUCGCAGAAGAAGCACCGGCUAACUCCGUGCCAGCAGCCGCGGUAAUACGGAGGGUGCAAGCGUUAAUCGGAAUUACUGGGUGUAAAGCGCACGCAGGCGGUCUGUCAAGUCGGAUGUGAAAUCCCCGGGCUCAACCUGGGAACUGCAUCCGAAACUGGCAGGCUAGAGUCUUGUAGAGGGGGGUAGAAUUCCAGGUGUAGCGGUGAAAUGCGUAGAGAUCUGGAGGAAUACCGGUGGCGAAGGCG
rnacentral:rRNA from 1 species